rnacentral:rRNA from 1 species
ACGGAAGGCAGCAGUGAGGAAUAUUGGUCAAUGGACGGAAGUCUGAACCAGCCAAAUCGCGUGAAGGAUGAAGGUAUUAUGUAUUGUAAACUUCUUUAGCAGUGGAGUAAUAAGGGGAUCGCGAUCCCUGAUGCAAGUACACUGAGAAUAAGGAUCGGCUAACUCCGUGCCAGCAGCCGCGGUAAUACGGAGGAUCCGAGCGUUAUCCGGAUUUAUUGGGUUUAAAGGGUGCGCAGGCGGCUUUUUAAGUCAGUGGUUAAAUCGUGACGCUCAACGUCAUCACGCCAUUGAUACUGGAGAGCUUGAUUGCGGUCGAGGUUUGCGGAAUUCGUUGUGUAGCGGUGAAAUGCAUAGAUAUGACGAAGAACACCGAUUGCGUAGGCAGCAGACCAGGCCGUAAAUGACGCUCAUGCACGAAAGUGCGGGGAUCGAACAGGAUUAGAUACCCUGGUA